rnacentral:rRNA from 1 species
AUUGAACGCUGGCGGUAGGCCUAACACAUGCAAGUCGAGCGGACCAAGGGAGCUUGCUCCUGCCUUCAGCGGCGGACGGGCGAGCAAUGCCUAGGAAUCUCGCUAGUUGCUUGUGAUAACGUCCGAAAAUGGGGGCUCAUACCGCAUACGUCCUGACGGCCUAAGUGGGGGAUCUUGGGAUCUUACGCUCUUACAUGAGCCGAGGUCGGAUUAGCUAGUUGGCGGGGUAAAGGCCUACCAAGGCGACGAUCCGUAACUGGUCUGAGAGGAUGAUCAGCCACACUGGAACUGAGACACGGUCCAGACUCCUACGGGAGGCAGCAGUGGGGAAUAUUGGACAAUGGGCGAAAGCCUGAUCCAGCCAUGCCGCGUGUGUGAAGAAGGCCUUCGGAUUGUAAAGCACUUUAAUUGGGAAAGAAGAGCAGUAAGUUAAUACCCUGCUGUUUUGACGUUACCAACAGAAUAAGCACCGGCUAACUUCGUG